CGGCAACAGCUCAAAUUUGAAAUCUGGCCUCUUUUGGGGUCCGAGUUGUAAUUUGUAGAGGAUGUUUUGGGUACCGCACUGGUUUAAAUUUCUUGGAACAGGACGUCGCAGAGGGUGAGAAUCCCGUACGCGGCCGGAUGGCUUCUCCGUGUAAAGCCCCUUCGAC
rnacentral:rRNA from 1 species